rnacentral:lncRNA from 1 species
AUCCUGGAUCUGGGACUGGGACCCCAGCUCUGGGAUGCAGCUCUGGGACUGGGACUGUUAUUGUCAUACUGGGAUCGCUGUUUUCAUACUGGGACUGUUAUUUUCAUACUGGGAUCAUGGAUCUGGGACUGGGAUUGGGAUUGAGGAUUUGGGACUGGGAUCCCAGCUCUGGGAUGCAGCUCUGGGACUGGGACUGUUAUUUUCAUACUGGGAUCAUGGAUCUGGGACUGGGAUCCCAGCUCUGGGACUGGGAUCACAGUUUUGGGACUGGGAUUGCUAUUUUCAUACUGGGAUUUUCAUACUGGGAUCACAAAUUUUGGGACUGGGAUCAUGGAUCUGGGACUGGGAUUGUUAUUCCUGGACUGGGAUUGUUAUUUCCCUACUGGGAUUGUUAUUCUGGGACUGAGAUCAUGGAUCCAGGAUUGGGAUUGUUAUUCCAGGACUGGGAUCACUGCUCUGGGACUGAGAUCAUGGAAUUGGGAUUGGGAUCUGGGACUGGGAUCGUGGAUCUGGGACUGGGAUCCCAGCUCUGGGAUGCAGCUCUGGGACUGGGAUCACUAUUUUCCUACUGGGAUUGCUAUUUUCAUACUGGGAUUGCUAUUUUCAUACUGGGAUUGUUAUUUCUGGACUGGGAUCAUGGAUCCGGGAUUGGGAUCAUGGAUUUGGGACUGGGAUCCUGGAUCUGGGACUGGGAUCACAGUUUUGGGACUGGGACUGUUAUUUUCAUACUGGGAUCGAGGAUUUGGGACUGGGAUCACAGGACUGGGAUUGGGACUGGGAUCGGGACUGGGAUCCUGGAUCUGGGACUGGGAUCCCAGCUCUGGGAUG